AAUCAACGCUGGCGGCGCGCUUAACACAUGCAAGUCGAACGAGAAAGUGGAGCAAUCCAUGAGUAAAGUGGCGCACGGGUGAGUAACACGUGGGUAAUUUACCUCCUUGUGGGGAAUAACCCUGGGAAACCGGGGCUAAUACCGCAUACGUCCGAGAGGAGAAAGCCGAAAGGCGCAGGGAGAGAAGCCCGCGGCCGAUUAGCUAGUUGGUAGGGUAAUGGCCUACCAAGGCGACGAUCGGUAGCCGGCCUGAGAGGGCACACGGCCACACUGGCACUGAAACACGGGCCAGACUCCUACGGGAGGCAGCAGUGGGGAAUCUUGCACAAUGGGGGAAACCCUGAUGCAGCGACGCCGCGUGAACGAUGAAGCCCUUCGGGUGUAAAGUUCUUUCGACGGGGACGAUAAUGACGGUACCCGGAGAAGAAGCUGCGGCUAACUACGUG
rnacentral:rRNA from 1 species